rnacentral:rRNA from 1 species
UGGGGAAUAUUGCGCAAUGGGCGAAAGCCUGACGCAGCAACGCCGCGUGAAGGAUGACGGUCUUCGGAUUGUAAACUUCUAUCGAUGGGGAAGAAUAAAUGACGGUACCCAAGUAAGAAGCACCGGCUAACUACGUGCCAGCAGCCGCGGUAAUACGUAGGGUGCAAGCGUUAUCCGGAAUUACUGGGCGUAAAGGGUGAGUAGGCGGUUGAUCAAGUCAUAUGUGAAAAUUAAGGGCUCAACCCUUAACUUGCAUAAGAAACUGGUUGACUAGAGUGCAGGAGAGGUAAGUGGAAUUCCUAGUGUAGCGGUGAAAUGCGUAGAUAUUAGGAAGAACACCAGUGGCGAAGGCGACUUACUGGACUGUAACUGACGCUGAGUCACGAAAGCGUGGGGAGCG